UAGUAUGCUAUUGGCUAGUGGUGAAAAAUUUAACCCAUGACUGUAUGGCCCUGUGCACUGAUAUCAAGGCAGGCGAUCCAUCUGGUUUAAUCCAAUACAUCAUGUGACUGAUCAAGGCGAAUCAAUCAGGUUGAUGCAGCAUGAAUGAACCAAUUAACUGAAUGAUGACCAGUCAUUUUUCUGUAAUAUGACUUAUCAGGUCACACAUCUUUUUGCAAGGUGUAUCAAAAUAUGAUGCGGUUACAUAUUUUCAAACUGGUUAACACUAACAGUCUAGAGGUUGGUCUUCCCAGGCAUUUGGACAGACGGUUGUCUUUGACCCCCCCCCCCCCCGUUGUGUCUGGAGUGAUGAGGUCCAUAUGAUCCCUAAGCUUGUCUAGAGGGUGCUGAAGUACACAGUCGCUUUCUCCUAGUGAUGUGUGUCUGUGUUUGCGCGUGUUCUUUUGUGUGUGUGUGUGUGUGUGUGUGUGUGUGUGUGUGUGUGUGUGUGUGUGUGUGUGUGUGUGUGUGUGUGUGUGUGUGUGUGUGUGUGUGUGUGUGUGCGUGUGUGUGUGUGUGUGUGUAAUUAUGUGCUGUCUCUAAAUAAAUGAAAAUACAAAGUAUGUAACUUUGAUAUCCUGCAUGUGCUUUUCCCUGUGGAUAUAGUUGUGUGUGUGCUGCUCACUGCACUGCUGAGAGAGAGAGAGAGAGAGACGUGUUAGAAAAGCUUCACAAGCCAGUCUGCUACUGAAAUGUGAAGAGUCCUGAAGCUACAAGUGUCUGGCCGAAUGUUUUAAAGGUGUUUGAAACUUGGCUUCCCUGACGACGAGAGAGGGAGUUUUAAGUGAGGCGAUGGGAGAUUGUGGAUCUCUGAGAAGGAGGAGGUGAUAUCAGAGAAGACCAGCUGGCUCGAUGGUUAACAUCUCAUCAGAACUACACGGCAUCCUCCCUUCUCCACAAGAGCCUACCAGAUUCAUCACCUGGCAUUGAGGGUAAUGAGCGAGGCGUGGAGGUGAACACAUUAAACCAAGCCGACUUUGCCCAGCCAGGAGGGAGGACAGAGACGGUACAGGAACAGAGGGGCAGCGACCAGGACCAAACCAAACCCCCUCCACAUCCCUUCCAACUCCUCCAUGGUGGCCCCACACCUGUCCAACACUGGGAGGCGAUUUUACACAACAACAACAACACUAGAACAGGUAAAGAGGACAACCAUACUUAUUCGCUAUCACACACACACGCUCACACACACACUCUGACAGUCCUUGCUAGCUGUGAUGCGCCGAAAGGC
rnacentral:lncRNA from 8 species